AGAGACCACCAAUAACCUCCCGUGUACUCAUCACUCAGUAUCAAAAAUGAUUCUUCUAGCUUUUCUGUGCUUCUACCCAAGUGACGUCUAAACCUCUUCACAGAUUAUUUGAUGCAAGUUCCAGAUACCAUAUAAUUUUACCCACAAACAUUUCAAUGCGUCACUCUGAAAAUCCUCACUAGAUUCUUUGGCCUUUGAAGAACUCAAGUCACUAAGGCUAUCCUGGCUGUUAACCUGAGAACAACUGGUAUGGGAACUCCCAGCAAGUCAGAUUCAAGGGACCAAGCAACAGAGCAAAUUUAUCCAGCUAGUCCAACACCUCAUUUAGUCCCUUCUCCAAUUGCUUGCUCAAUUCUCUUCAGCCAUGGUGGAGAAGGAAUAUAGAACAACAGCAGGCUCCAGUCCAAGAUUUCUGGCUUUCUGAAGCAAUUCGGCUUUUCCACAUCCUACCAUAAAACUUGAUUUACAAAACCCGACAAUGAGCUCAAGAGAACAAAGGAGGCUUCUGGUAAAAGCUACUCUUUAGAAGAGAUUUAGGAUAAUUGUGGCAAACGGUGCUAGCAGCUUACACAAUGUUUAUCCUUUUUCCUUCCUUAUGAAGAGGAUCCUGAUUUUUCUUCAGGUGAUUCCGAGAUUCUCAAGUUUGAAAACACCACUGAUUUAUAGAGCUUUGCAGAGAAAGAAAGCCAAGCCCCGAUCAAAUCAUGUCUGAACUACAUGUCUGGAGUUCCUCAGUUAUGUAACCCAAUAAAUA